CCUGGCUCAGGAUGAACGCUAGCUACAGGCUUAACACAUGCAAGUCGAGGGGCAGCAUUAGGUAGCAAUACUGAGAUGGCGACCGGCGCACGGGUGCGUAACGCGUAUCCAACCUUCCGUUACUCUCGGAUAGCCUUCCGAAAGGGAGAUUAAUACGAGAUGGUGUUGAAAUUCCGCAUGUUAUUUCAACUAAAGAUUCAUCGGUAACGGAUGGGGAUGCGUGACAUUAGGUAGAUGGCGGGGUAACGGCCCACCAUGCCUACGAUGUCUAGGGGUUCUGAGAGGAAGGUCCCCCACACUGGAACUGAGACACGGUCCAGACUCCUACGGGAGGCAGCAGUGAGGAAUAUUGGUCAAUGGUCGGAAGACUGAACCAGCCAAGUAGCGUGAAGGAUGAAGGUUCUAUGGAUUGUAAACUUCUUUUAUACGGGAAUAAAACCACCUACGUGUAGGUGCUUGUAUGUACCGUAUGAAUAAGCAUCGGCUAACUCCGUG
rnacentral:rRNA from 1 species